rnacentral:rRNA from 1 species
GCGAACGCUGGCGGCAGGCCUAACACAUGCAAGUCGAACGAACCUUUCGGGGUUAGUGGCGGACGGGUGAGUAACACGUGGGAACGUGCCUUUAGGUUCGGAAUAACUCAGGGAAACUUGUGCUAAUACCGAAUGUGCCCUUCGGGGGAAAGAUUAAUCGCCUUUAGAGCGGCCCGCGUCUGAUUAGCUAGUUGGUUGAGGUAAUGGCUCACCAAGGCGACGAUCAGUAGCUGGUCUGAGAGGAUGAUCAGCCACAUUGGGACUGAGACACGGCCCAAACUCCUACGGGAGGCAGCAGUGGGGAAUCUUGCGCAAUGGGCGAAAGCCUGACGCAGCCAUGCCGCGUGAAUGAUGAAGGUCUUAGGAUUGUAAAAUUCUUUCACCGGGGACGAUAAUGACGGUACCCGGAGAAGAAGCCCCGACUAACUUCGUG